rnacentral:rRNA from 1 species
AACGAACGCUGGCGGCAUGCCUAACACAUGCAAGUCGAACGAUUGCCUUCGGGUGAUAGUGGCGCACGGGUGCGUAACGCGGGGGAAUCUGCCCGUAGGUUCGGAAUAACAGAGGGAAACGGCUGCUAAUACCGGAUGAUAUCGCGAGAUCAAAGAUUUAGCGCCUGAGGAUGAGCCCGCGUUGGAUGAGGUAGUUGGUGGGGUAAAGGCCUACCAAGCCGACGAUCCAUAGCUGGUCUGAGAGGAUGAUCCGCCACACUGGGACUGAGACACGGCCCGGACUCCUACGGGAGGCAGCAGUGGGGAAUAUUGCACCAUCGGCGCAAGCCUGAUCCAGCAAUGCCGCGUGAGUGAUGAAGGCCCUAGGGUUGUAAAGCGCUUUUACCCGGGAAGAUAAUGACUGUACCGGGAGAAUAAGCCCCGGCUAACUCCGUG